AAGUACUUUACCGGUGCGGACAAUUAUCACAUUAGACAGAAAUUCAUGGAGCUGACUUCACUUUGAUUAGUUCGCUGACAUAUGGGUUGCUCGGUUUUAAUAUCCUGCUUUAUAGGAGCCUAAACAAUGUAUUAUAUAUAUACUGUACCUCUCGCGGAUCGUUGCUAAUGUUGUACAAUUACGUUAGCUGACUUUUAGUUCAACAAAUUAUACUUGUUAGGGAAUCUUUCAAGUUUGCACUUGUUAGGGAUUUGCUAUGUUAGUACUUGUUACUGACUUUUAGUUCAACAAAUUAUAUUUGAGC
rnacentral:lncRNA from 1 species